CUAAUCAACCGAACUAAUGAACUAUAUACACCGUACAUUUAUCUACUAGGAAGACUUGGAUUUUCCCAGAGCCAGUGCUAAUAACUGAAGAACAGGAAAGGAAACAAAGAUGAUGAAUAACAGAUACCUGUCUGUCACCCACCAUCCUCCCAGCACUCUCCUAGACACUGAGGAUUCCACUGGAAUGAAAAGAGUCAACACAAUCCAAUCCUCACAGAACUUACAUUCUAUCAAGAAGCAGAAAAUCAAAUAAUUGUCUAUAUUUGAGUCUAAUGGUAAGGAAAAACCUGUGAGUGAGUGGAAUUAGAAAGAGGAAAAAGACCAAGUGAAAAAUCAUCACUCAUCAUGAAUGGUAUUAAAAUAGAACCACUGAGAAGAUUUUUGAGACAAUGACUUUCUUUCCAAAAGGGUAAACCCUGUCAACAGCAGGAGGUAAAAACUGCAGUCAACAGCACUGAGUGAAAGGUAAGAUUUCAGGCAACUUAAAGAAAAAAAAAAAUCUUUAAAGAUAUUAGUGACUCUCUUCCACAUUUCCAUGAAGGCUCUACUCAUAAGGAAAAUAUUCCCCUGUAUUCCAUAGCAAUAUAUCUUAUUUUUUUUAAUGCAGCAACACCAGCCAACUGGUGAGGUGGAGACACUGAACAGCUACCUUGGCACUCGGUUCUUAAUAUCCAUUCAGAGGGUUAACUUUCAGCAAAGCCAAAAAGAUGACAGCCAGAUAAAACAGUCGCAGUCCUCAGGGUGGAAAAUCAUGUUGCCAGGCCAGCCAAAAUAUAAUUUCUCGUAUGUCUUUUCUCUCAAGGAAGUACUUCUGAAAAACACCUUUCUAGCACAAUAGUCAUUGAAUCCAAUUAUAUAUUUUUAGACACCACUAAACAUUCUUUUUUUAUUUCUUCCAUUUCACGAAAACUCUCCACAUCUGGAAAGAACAGCAAUGAAGAACAGGAACUGGCGCGUUCAUGCUUGGCUCCUACCGGGCAUGUUUCAUUUAAUUUCCUCCAUUUUUAUGACAUUUUCCUAUGCUGCUACUCCAGACGUUCAAUAAAACACCUCGCCGCCGAGAAAACCAUAGGGGAAGGAAAAUCUAAAGAAACUCUGACGGAAGAUCUGAGAGUGAGAUCACUUCGACCAGGCAAGAGGAGCCUGUGUUCCGGCUUCUAAGCACCGCUUUCCUGGGGUCUCUCCUUGGCCUGCAUGCAUCAGCGCUGCUGACCUGUGCACUCUGAUCCACCGCCGGACGAACGGGUGCACUAUCCUCCUGGAGCUUGUUUUCUGUAGUCUAUCUUCCUUGCAGUGUCAGAAAGACCACAAAAGCCUGUAUUGUCUAUUCAGUUUUCCAAACUUCAGCCAUCCAGUCCACAAUCAGUUUUUCCCCGGGACAGUUGAGAAGUCAUUUCUUUUUGUUUUAUAACAAGCAAGAACCAGCUAUGAAUACAAUCUAGAGCAAGAGUAUGGUCUAGCGUAGACAGGGAAGAACCAGAUAUGAGAUAAACAGGUCAAAAACUGAACCAUGACCUCAGCUGGAAGCAUGAUGGGGAAGCAGGGUAAACGUAGUGCCUAGGAAAGCCAUAUGUUCAUAAAAAAGAUGUCAGCUUGGCUAUUGUGAAUAAUGUAGCAAUGAACAUAGGAGUGGUAAAACCUUUUUGGAUCCUGCUUUCAAUUUUGGGGGGUAAAUUCCAGACGUUGAAUUGCUGAAUCUCAAGAUGUAUCUUCAUCUGUGAUUCACUGGCCCUAUCAUUAGAAUUUGCUGAGCUUCCCCCUGCCUCAGGACCUUUGAACUUGCUCUUUUUGUACCUGGAAUGAUCUUCUCUCAAGUUUGCACAUGGCUCUCUGCAUCUUGUUACUUGGUUCUCUUAUGAAAAUAUCCUCAGAGGGUCCUUUGCUGACCACCCUAACACAGGGCUAUUCCCUUCCCAAUCCUGCCAGUGUGAGUUCUGGCCCUCUUUGGCAUGGGAGUGAUAAAAGGAUGCCAUAAGGUACGGCGAGAUCUGUAGAUUUCUAAGAUUUUUCUCUCCGGAACAACACAAUUUCCUAAACACUGCUGCUAAUCAUGUUCCAGCAAGACUUCAGUAUUGCUCAGAUGACAGCUCCUGGGAAAGUGCAGUCUCACAGGCAGCCUGCUGUUUGGAUUGGAGCUACAGAGGAGACGUCAAGAGAUGGCCUUUCAAACAAGAAUCUUUGGAAUUCAGGAGAGAAAGGCUGUGGAUACUGGCAUAGUGAUAAUUUCUCUUUUUUUUUCCUACUGCAUUGUUAUUAUGGCAGUAACAUUGUGCAGACAGCUUUGGGAACUGGAGGAUGAAGCCAGAAGCCUUUUCCAGGGUGCACCACCACACCAUCCUUAUCUUAAAGGGAAGAGAAAACCCCAAGUCUUCCCAAAAUCAAUGGGAUUCAUAAGAGAUUUAACAGAGUUGCUGGUCAGAAGAUUCAAGGUAUUAAAGUCGAUUUUAUUUUUAUAUAUUAGCAAAUAAUGCUUAGGAUUUGCUAAAUAAAAGAUAGCACAUACAAAUACAGGAACAAUGUGUCAUAAGAAUAAAAUGAAAAGCAAUGGAUGAGUCUCUUAGGAAGGAUAGAAUGAUAUUAGCUGAAAGAAAUCAAAGAAGACCUAAGUAAAUGAAAAAUUAGACCAUGUAUAUUGAUAGGGAGAGCUCAGUAUCAUAAAGCUGUCAGUUUUCCCCCAGAUUGGUCCAGAGAUUCUUGGUACUGCCAGUAAAAUUUUCAAAGUGGUUCUUUGGAACCAAUAUGACUUAAAUGUAAGAUUAAAACAGAGCAAGAAAACAAGCAAACUGGACACAAUAUCAGCCACACAUUAAAACUGUAGCUAAGAAAAGUGUAAAGAACAUAUAAAAUUGAAUAUAUAAGCAAACAACCCAUUAGAACAAUAUGUAAAAGUGCGAACAGGCAGUUCAGGAUAGAGGACUCGGUAAUGGCUCAGUUCAGUUCAGGUCAGCCGCUCAGUCGUGUCCGACUCUUUGUGACCCCAUGAAUUGCAGCACGCCAGGCCUCCCUGUUUAUCCCCAACUUCCGGAGGAUACAAAAAAAUGUUACUUAGGAAUCAGAUGAAUAAUGACAAAAUCACUGUUAGUUGCCACUCGACCCAACCUUCUGGAAUAAUUUUUAAAUCUAAGCUUAUAGGUGUUCAGAAGAUUAGGUUCUCAUUAAUCUUGUUAAUCUCAUUAACCAGUAGUUCUUCGGGAAAAAUUUUGACUUUACCUAGUUAAAGAAUAUAUGUAUAUUACCUAAAACAGCAAUUCCACUCUUUGGAAUAUACUUUAAGGAAACUUUUUUGCUAUAUGUACCAGAAGGUAUGUACAAUAAUGGUCACGGCUGCAUUUACACAAAAGCAAUAACUGGGAAGCAACUCUUUGUCUUCUAAGAACAGAAUAAACAAAUUAGAUUCCCAAAUUUAUGCAUGCAGCUCAAAAGGUUAAUAUUGAGAAAUAAAAGAAAAUCACAUGAAAAUCACACAAAUCUCCACAUAUAUUGUGGUGUGAUUCCAUCAUUAUAAAAGGGGAAUUAGGACAAACCAAAUAGCAUACUGUUUAGUAAUAUUAAUAUUUUUAUGUCACUAUAAAAAAUCAACAGAAUAACAAGGUUAUGGUAGCUAAGUAGAUAUUUG
ensembl:lncRNA